GACGAACGCUGGCGGCGUGCUUAACACAUGCAAGUCGAGCGGUAAGGCCCUUUCGGGGGUACACGAGCGGCGAACGGGUGAGUAACACGUGGGUGACCUGCCCUCAGCUCUGGGAUAAGCCCGGGAAACUGGGUCUAAUACUGGAUAUGACUCCACGGUGCAUGCCGUGGGGUGGAAAGCCUUGUGCGGCUGAGGAUGGGCCCGCGGCCUAUCAGCUUGUUGGGUGGGGUGAUGGCCUACCAAGGCGACGACGGGUAGCCGGCCUGAGAGGGCGACCGGCCACACUGGGACUGAGACACGGCCCAGACUCCUACGGGAGGCAGCAGUGGGGAAUCUUGCGCAAUGGGCGAAAGCCUGACGCAGCGACGCCGCGUGA
rnacentral:rRNA from 1 species